GUUUUUAAAGUCAAAUGAGGAUUUCUUAUUUUUUUUAAAACAAAAAUGUUUAAACAUAAACAGUAAAAGACUUCUCAAACUGAGGAGUCUACCACUAGUUUUAACAACAAUUACACCAGCAUGAAAAAAAACACCUUGACUGCUUACUUCAGGUUAUGGUUCUUGAUGCCCUUCAUCUUAAAUACAACGCACCAAUUAAAACCCUGUUAGAACCCACAGUAUAUUACAACCCUCUACUCAAUAAUGCAGUGCCUCUAGCGGCAGACUCGUGUUAUUACAGUCUUUCCAAUGGACAGACUAUCACCGUAGUAACGUUAUAAUUGACUUUCAGAGCCUUUCCUAGCCCAUCUAUCAGGAUAGAGCACAAGGUUGAAUAAAAUCGUAUUUACAUGUUCUUUGUUCAGUUUUUUUUGUUUUUUAUAUCGGAAACAACAUUAAAUAGUAAAAACCUGUUAAAGUGUUUUUAACAGCUUUAUAUGUUAAACAUUGCGCACAUAGUUUCAUAAACACACUGCUGACGUUUUUCAAUAACUUAGUUUUACGACAUUGACCUAACGGCCUUUCUCAGAGAAAGUAUGGUCGAGAUUCAAAGCGAGAAACGGAAACAUUAAUACUGAUGUACUAGCGGAGUUUUUUUUCUAAAAGGAAGCUCCGUCAUUUUCAGUGGUUCCGCCCAGAGCUGUCCUGUGUGUGUAGCGGCACCAAGUGUGUAGAGGCCCGGUGAGAGAGUUUGGACUCAGUGAUGUUCAGCACGAUGCCAUGCGCCUGUGUGAUUCUCCUCUUCCUCCUCGGAAUGCACCUGUGUUCCAGCCAGUCUCCUGAGCAGCAUGUGAAGGGCACUCUGGGACAGAACUUCCUCUUCCAGACCAGUGUAUCAGGAUCUGGAAAUCUCAUCAGAGGGGUCAGCACUCUUGCAAAGGUGACUGGUGGGGUGUUAGUCUUUUCUGAUAAUUCAGGGCGAGUGAGCUGGGACAAGCAGACGGGAUUCUUUCAGAUCAAGGACCUGAAAACAAGCGACGGUGACAUUUAUACAGUGGAGAUUCCUAAUGGACAGAGUGCAAAAUAUAUCCUCGUGGUGUACCAUCCUGUCUCUCUUCCUCAAGUGAGAGUCAUUAGUCGUGGUGGGACCUGCUUUCUGGAGUGUUCUGUGAAGAACGGGAGAGAGGUGACCCUGUUGUUGAAGAGCAGUGGAAAGACACUGAUCCACACCGUUGACCCUGACCUCAACACCCGCCUGAUUCUCCAUCGAGUGACAGAAGGACUCUCUCACUCCUACAGCUGUGUGGCCUCUAACCCAGUCAGCAAUGAGUCAGUCCCAGUCCAGCCUGAUCAGUUCUGUGGAGGUGAGUCUGUUUCCAGUCCAAGCACACUGACCCUGAGUUUCCACUGCUUGCACUACACCUGCUCAAUAGGCAGACUGGGUGAAGUUAGAGUACAAAUCCCAGACAGCUCAAAAAGUCCUGUUAACAAUUACUGUUUAUUGUUAGUCUAUUAUUAGAUUUAGGACAGUCACACAGAGUUUAUUAGAUUUUCAUUAAUUUGAUGUUGCAAUAAUUACUGUAUGAAAAUCAUUACAGUUAUCUUUAAGCUAAAGUUAUUAUAUGUAAGUCAUACUAUUUGAUAAUAGGGUGUUCAUUUCUUGCUAACUAGUCUGCAUGCAUCCCCCCUUUGCAACAUGCCUGAAUGAUGGGGCAUCUGCAUUCCUGGUGGCUCCACAAAGGCUAGAAGAACUGUGAACCUCUCUCUCUCAAGGAGAGAUUAGAGCUGCACAGACUUGGCCAUCAAACUAUUCGGCCGAGAACAAAAUAGGCCUGGUGAUUCUCAAGUCAAGAGAAGAGAUUCCUCAGUUCCAGAGGUUUGGGUCUUUACUUACUGUAGCAAGGAAUGCAAGGAAGGACUGUUGUUAAGCUUCAGUUUCAAGAAACUGUGCAACUAUGCCAUAAAACCAUCCACAUAUAUACACUGUAUUCCACAAACACCAUGUUUUACCAUUCUGUUGAUACUAAAUUAAGAAAUUACAUG
ensembl:lincRNA